CACCCUGUGUUCUACGAAACUGCUCUAACCC
rnacentral:piRNA from 1 species